rnacentral:rRNA from 1 species
AUUGAACGCUGGCGGCAGGCCUAACACAUGCAAGUCGAACGAGUGGCGGACGGGUGAGUAAUGUCUGGGAAACUGCCUGAUGGAGGGGGAUAACUACUGGAAACGGUAGUUAAUACCGCAGACCAUCAGAUGUGCCCAGAUGGGCUUAGCUUGUUGGUGGGGUAACGGCUCACCAAGGCGACGAUCCCUAGCUGGGCUGAGAGGAUGACCAGCCACCCUGGAACUUGGACUCGGUCCAUACUCCUCCGGGUGUUACCAGUGGGGAAUAUUGCGCAAAUGGCGCAAGCCUGAUGCAGCCAUGCCGCGUGUAUGAAGUGGGCCUUCGGGUUGUAAAGUACUUUCAGCGGGGAGGCGUUACCCGCAGAAGAAGCGCCGGCUAACUCCGUGCCAGCAGCCGCGGUAAUAC